UUUAAUAUUAUCCUAUCUAUCAUAUAAUAUGAUCUGAUUUGAAAUUAUAUCAUACUAUAUUACAUUAUGAUACAUAAUAUGAUCUACAAUUGUAUCUCAUUAAAUUGUAUUAUGUGAGGUUAUUAUAUGAUUCGGUAUUAUAUAUUAUCUAAGGUAUUAUAUAUUAUAAUAUCCAGCGGUUAAAGGAGUACUUUACCUUGCAUUACGUGCUUUUUAAGUCAGUUAAAGUAGUAAUACCGCACUGUAGGAAUACUCUGUUAGUAAAAGGAAAUGUACAUGAAUGAACAAAAGUAUGAGCACCAAAUAUACUUAAGGAACAAAAUUAAAAGUACUCAUUAUGCAGUAUGACCCAACAUUUAUUGUUUUAUUGGAUUUAUUAUUCAUAAUAAUUCCAUUUAUUGAUGCAUUAAUGUGUUAAUCACUUUAAUGUUGCAUCUGGAAAGGUUGGACCUCAUUUAUAUAUAUAGCAAAAUGCUUAAUCGAAUAGUUAUAUAAAUGAAGUAUGAUUAUAUUUUCUAUUUCUAAUAUGAAUCUGCAAGUAACCAAGGGUGUCAGGUAAAUGUAGAGGGGUAGAAAUAAUAAUAUUUGCCUCUGAGAUGUAGUACAGAAGUAAAAGGUAGCAGAAAAUAGAAAUAAUAGCCAGUGUUAUAAUCCGGUGUUUCUCUAGUUCGGCUCUAUCUCUGACUCUGAUUAUUCUACCAAAUUACAACAUUAUGAACUAUGGCUCUUUGACAAACAUCAGCAACUACAGAGUAGCUGCUGGACUUCAAACUUUAAAAUCAAUACUAUCAGUUCAACUAAUAUCAGUUAGAUAAGCGCUAUUAUAUUGGUUAUGAAGCUCAUAUAGUUUCCUGAGACCCUAUUAGGGAUGGAGGUGGAAUAAACCUAUUCACAGGUCUUUAAAGGUAAGGGUUAAAAAACACAAUUAAUUUAUAUGGAAUAUUGGUUCCAUUUGAUACCUAAGUCUUUGCAUUACUCAAUCCUCUUGGCAAAUGAACAGCACCGUUCUGUCUAAACACUAACCCAGUCUGGCUUUGGCUGGACAGCAAUUAAGAUCCUCAUAUGGAUGAACUGACUGAUGAACUGGAAAACCCUCCCAACAGGGCUGAUUGGUAUUAUCACUCUAGUCCUUUUUUGGGAGAUGCUUUCAUCGGGCUUGAAGCCAGACUGAUAUACACUGGGAAAUAGAAAGUGAACUUGCAAGAUCAGAAUGGUCCCCCAAGGCAACUGUUUACCACUAACCACAACGAUGGCAGUUAAAAUAAUAAUAAUGUUAGAACUAAUCUAGUGAAACCAGGAAUCAACGGAUUAAGCAUAUAAACGUACUGAAUCAGUACGUUUACAUGUACAGCUUAAUCAGAUUAGAGCCAUAGUUCGACUAUGCUCCUCAAUCGGACAACUGCAAUUGUCUGAGUAUUCAUUGCGGUGAGAAAAUCAAUUCAUUAGCCGAAGCAUGUCACGAUAGGUGGCACUGUGCCCAUUUCAACUAAUAGAGCCACCGGCGGCAUUCAAGAAAGAUGGGGCCUCUACAAAUAGUCUAAUUUCCUAACCUUUAUGCCUCUUUUCCUUUACCUUUGUGGAAAACAUCAUCGGGUCAAGGAGGAUUGAAAAUAUGCUUCCUUUCAAACAUAGGAAAAGACAGCACUGUUUAAAAUGUAUUCAGGAAUAUUUUUGGCGACUUGAAUCCCAAUUCACAUGUGAAAAAAAAGGCUCAAUUUACGUUGAUGUUGAAAUUAACUGCCCCCUAGCCUGGGUAUACCCAUGCUGCCUUGCUCACGAUUUCAUUUGGCGCUGCCAGGCAGCCUGGAUUCCAUGGAUUCGAUUUUCGCCUGAGAUAGGGAACCAAUCACAGAACGGGGAGGGACGGCAAGACGAUUACAGCAACCCACCGAAGCUAUCGUAAACUAAGCCUGGACGUAACUGCUAAGACGUCUUAGUUAAGACCUGGCGUUAGAAUGGAACUAACACCGGUUGCACCAACGGGACUUACGCCUGGUCUUACCUACGCCCGGUCUUACAUUUGAAAGUCCUACCUCUCCUUUCUACAGGGGCGGCCAUCUUUAAACGUGACAGGUGGAUCCAUAGACAAUAAGCAUGUGAUACAUGCUCUGACAAAUACUUACCUUUUUUCAAUAGACUAGAUGUGACAGGUGGAUCCAUAGACCAGUCACUCUUCAUGGAGACACAGCUGGGUUCAGGGGAGUCUGCUCUGUCCUGCUGCUCGGGGCUUCAGUACGAAACACACGCAACUUUGACUCAGUUUCAGUCAUGAAACUUCGCUCUGGGGGCCAUGUUCCAUAGACAUGGUGCUUUUAGAAGUAGGCCCCCCCUCCUCCAUCUCCUCAUUCAAGAGAAAAUAACUGAAAGGGCCGGGACACGGAUCCGGUCCGGGUUCUGAAGGUUCUAGACAGCUAGGUUAAAGGGGAGCACGCAGAUAUGUAUUCCAUCUGGAUACUUUCACCGGGGGCGGUGUGUUAGAAUGGUUUAGUAGUGCCCAAUAAACGGCUCUGGGCAAUCGUAAACCACGCCUCAAAUACGAGAGAAUGAAUGUGUGGUUCCCAGACCUCAUCUCAAUGUAGAUGAGAUGAGGUCUGGCGUUAGCCAGGCUAACUGCCCCCAGUAGUCUUUCUUAAAUGUGAAGUUGGCCUUUUAUUUUCUUACGGUUAAUACUGUGUGCUUAAUAACCAGCAAUAAAUGAAUUCAUUUAGAUUCAAAUAAUGUUUCUGGAAUUGGUAUCCAUUAUUAUCAUUUGUAUUU